rnacentral:rRNA from 1 species
UGAACGCUGGCGGCGUGCUAAUACAUGCAAGUCGAACGAAGCACUUUGACAGAGUCCCCUCGGGUGAAGAUGAUGUGACUUAGUGGCGGACGGGUGAGUAACGCGUGGGGAACCUGCCUCGUGCUGGGGGAUAACAAGUUAGAAAUGACUGCUAAUACCGCAUAAGCGCACAGUAAGGCAUCUUACAGUGUGAAAAAGAUUUAUCGGCAUGAGAUGGACCCGCGUCUGAUUAGGUAGUUGGCGGGGUAACGGCCCACCAAGCCCGCGAUCAGUAGCCGACUUGAGAGAGUGAUCGGCCACAUUGGGACUGAGACACGGCCCAGACUCCUACGGGAGGCAGCAGUAGGGAAUAUUGCACAAUGGGGGAAACCCUGAUUGCAGCGACGCCGCGUGAGUGAUGAAGUAUUUCGGUACGUAAAACUCUAUCAGCAGGGAAGAUAAUGACGGUACCUGACUAAGAAGCCCCGGCUAACUACGUGCCAGCCGCCGC